rnacentral:rRNA from 1 species
UACGGGGGGGGCAAGCGUUGUUCGGAAUUACUGGGCGUAAAGGGCUCGUAGGCGGCCAACUAAGUCAGACGUGAAAUCCCUCGGCUUAACCGGGGAACUGCGUCUGAUACUGGAUGGCUUGAGUUUGGGAGAGGGAUGCGGAAUUCCAGGUGUAGCGGUGAAAUGCGUAGAUAUCUGGAGGAACACCGGUGGCGAAGGCGGCAUCCUGGACCAACACUGACGCUGAGUGAGCGAAAGCGUGGGUAGCAAACAGG